rnacentral:lncRNA from 1 species
UGUUCCGGGACAAAAGCCGCUCUCCCUCGCAGAACUCGCAACAGUCCUUCGACAGCAGCAGUCCCCCCACGCCGCAGUGCCAUAAGCGGCACCGGCACUGCCCGGUUGUCGUGUCCGAGGCCACCAUCGUGGGCGUCCGCAAGACCGGGCAGAUCUGGCCCAACGAUGGCGAGGGCGCCUUCCAUGGAGACGCAGUGGCUCGUUCGGAACACCACCUGGAUACGGCUGC